CGAUGGCUGGGGCAAUAAGACAUUGUCUCACGUAUCAAGAUACAAUAUCUAUGGCAGCUCCCGCGGUCUUGUGAGAUCCUCUGUAGAUAUCAGUCCAGUACUCUCGUACAUGCAUGCGUUGGUAUGCAUCAGGUAAAUAUAUUUACCCUUCACUACAAACCCACGUUACUGCACAUUAAGCGGCAAUGUCAAAAUAUGUAAAGACCUCAAAUGAUGGAAGAGCUGAUUUAGGUACCUUUUUAAGCUUUGCACACCCUAAAAGCAUAAAGUAA